CCAGCAAGCUUCAACGGUAGUGAACUACUCCGGCAGUGAUGAACUCCAUAGACGAACCAACAAGCUUCAACGGUGGUGAAUUACUCCGAUAGUUAUUAACUUGCCUUUUUCAAUGAGAAUUUGCGCUCCGCCAUAAAACACCCAAAAAGUGACUCCCUAUGUCCGUGAAGAACUCUCCUCCAAAAAAUGCCCAAAAAGAUUCUCUAUGUCGGUGAUGAAGUCUCCUUUCCAAGAAUGCCAGA
rnacentral:lncRNA from 1 species